rnacentral:rRNA from 1 species
GGGUUGUGAGGUUAAGCGACUAAGCGUACACGGUGGAUGCCCUGGCAGUCAGAGGCGAUGAAGGACGUGCUAAUCUGCGAUAAGCGUCGGUAAGGUGAUAUGAACCGUUAUAACCGGCGAUUUCCGAAUGGGGAAACCCAGUGUGAUUCGUCACACUAUCAUUAACUGAAUCCAUAGGUUAAUGAGGCGAACCGGGGGAACUGAAACAUCUAAGUACCCCGAGGAAAAGAAAUCAACCGAGAUUCCCCCAGUAGCGGCGAGCGAACGGGGAGCAGCCCAGAGCCUGAAUCAGUGUGUGUGUUAGUGGAAGCGUCUGGAAAGGCGUGCGAUACAGGGUGACAGCCCCGUACACAAAAAUGCACAUAUUGUGAGCUCGAUGAGUAGGGCGGGACACGUGGUAUCCUGUCUGAAUAUGGGGGGACCAUCCUCCAAGGCUAAAUACUCCUGACUGACCGAUAGUGAACCAGUACCGUGAGGGAAAGGCGAAAAGAACCCCGGCGAGGGGAGUGAAAAAGAACCUGAAACCGUGUACGUACAAGCAGUGGGAGCACGCUUAGGCGUGUGACUGCGUACCUUUUGUAUAAUGGGUCAGCGACUUAUAUUCUGUAGCAAGGUUAACCGAAUAGGGGAGCCGAAGGGAAACCGAGUCUUAACUGGGCGUUAAGUUGCAGGGUAUAGACCCGAAACCCGGUGAUCUAGCCAUGGGCAGGUUGAAGGUUGGGUAACACUAACUGGAGGACCGAACCGACUAAUGUUGAAAAAUUAGCGGAUGACUUGUGGCUGGGGGUGAAAGGCCAAUCAAACCGGGAGAUAGCUGGUUCUCCCCGAAAGCUAUUUAGGUAGCGCCUCGUGAAUUCAUCUCCGGGGGUAGAGCACUGUUUCGGCAAGGGGGUCAUCCCGACUUACCAACCCGAUGCAAACUGCGAAUACCGGAGAAUGUUAUCACGGGAGACACACGGCGGGUGCUAACGUCCGUCGUGAAGAGGGAAACAACCCAGACCGCCAGCUAAGGUCCCAAAGUCAUGGUUAAGUGGGAAACGAUGUGGGAAGGCCCAGACAGCCAGGAUGUUGGCUUAGAAGCAGCCAUCAUUUAAAGAAAGCGUAAUAGCUCACUGGUCGAGUCGGCCUGCGCGGAAGAUGUAACGGGGCUAAACCAUGCACCGAAGCUGCGGCAGCGACGCUGAUGCGUUGUUGGGUAGGGGAGCGUUCUGUAAGCCUGCGAAGGUGUGCUGUGAGGCAUGCUGGAGGUAUCAGAAGUGCGAAUGCUGACAUAAGUAACGAUAAAGCGGGUGAAAAGCCCGCUCGCCGGAAGACCAAGGGUUCCUGUCCAACGUUAAUCGGGGCAGGGUGAGUCGACCCCUAAGGCGAGGCCGAAAGGCGUAGUCGAUGGGAAACAGGUUAAUAUUCCUGUACUUGGUGUUACUGCGAAGGGGGGACGGAGAAGGCUAUGUUGGCCGGGCGACGGUUGUCCCGGUUUAAGCGUGUAGGCUGGUUUUCCAGGCAAAUCCGGAAAAUCAAGGCUGAGGCGUGAUGACGAGGCACUACGGUGCUGAAGCAACAAAUGCCCUGCUUCCAGGAAAAGCCUCUAAGCAUCAGGUAACAUCAAAUCGUACCCCAAACCGACACAGGUGGUCAGGUAGAGAAUACCAAGGCGCUUGAGAGAACUCGGGUGAAGGAACUAGGCAAAAUGGUGCCGUAACUUCGGGAGAAGGCACGCUGAUAUGUAGGUGAAGUCCCUCGCGGAUGGAGCUGAAAUCAGUCGAAGAUACCAGCUGGCUGCAACUGUUUAUUAAAAACACAGCACUGUGCAAACACGAAAGUGGACGUAUACGGUGUGACGCCUGCCCGGUGCCGGAAGGUUAAUUGAUGGGGUCAGCGCAAGCGAAGCUCUUGAUCGAAGCCCCGGUAAACGGCGGCCGUAACUAUAACGGUCCUAAGGUAGCGAAAUUCCUUGUCGGGUAAGUUCCGACCUGCACGAAUGGCGUAAUGAUGGCCAGGCUGUCUCCACCCGAGACUCAGUGAAAUUGAACUCGCUGUGAAGAUGCAGUGUACCCGCGGCAAGACGGAAAGACCCCGUGAACCUUUACUAUAGCUUGACACUGAACAUUGAGCCUUGAUGUGUAGGAUAGGUGGGAGGCUUUGAAGUGUGGACGCCAGUCUGCAUGGAGCCGACCUUGAAAUACCACCCUUUAAUGUUUGAUGUUCUAACGUUGACCCGUAAUCCGGGUUGCGGACAGUGUCUGGUGGGUAGUUUGACUGGGGCGGUCUCCUCCUAAAGAGUAACGGAGGAGCACGAAGGUUGGCUAAUCCUGGUCGGACAUCAGGAGGUUAGUGCAAUGGCAUAAGCCAGCUUGACUGCGAGCGUGACGGCGCGAGCAGGUGCGAAAGCAGGUCAUAGUGAUCCGGUGGUUCUGAAUGGAAGGGCCAUCGCUCAACGGAUAAAAGGUACUCCGGGGAUAACAGGCUGAUACCGCCCAAGAGUUCAUAUCGACGGCGGUGUUUGGCACCUCGAUGUCGGCUCAUCACAUCCUGGGGCUGAAGUAGGUCCCAAGGGUAUGGCUGUUCGCCAUUUAAAGUGGUACGCGAGCUGGGUUUAGAACGUCGUGAGACAGUUCGGUCCCUAUCUGCCGUGGGCGCUGGAGAACUGAGGGGGGCUGCUCCUAGUACGAGAGGACCGGAGUGGACGCAUCACUGGUGUUCGGGUUGUCAUGCCAAUGGCACUGCCCGGUAGCUAAAUGCGGAAGAGAUAAGUGCUGAAAGCAUCUAAGCACGAAACUUGCCCCGAGAUGAGUUCUCCCUGACUCCUUGAGAGUCCUGAAGGAACGUUGAAGACGACGACGUUGAUAGGCCGGGUGUGUAAGCGCAGCGAUGCGUUGAGCUAACCGGUACUAAUGAACCGUGAGGCUUAACCUUACAACGCCGAAGCUGUU